GAUGAAGAACGCAGCGAAACGCGAUAUGUAAUGUGAAUUGCAGAAUUCAGUGAAUCAUCGAAUCUUUGAACGCACAUGGCGCCUUCCAGUAUCCUGGGAGGCAUGCCUGUCCGAGCGUCGUUUCAACCCUCGAGCCCCCGUGGCCCGGCGUUGGGGAUCUGCCCAGGCAGUCCCCGAAAACCAGUGGCGGACCCGUUACAGGCCCUUCCCUUGCGUAGUAGCAUUCGCCUCGCAUCGGGAGCCGGCGGGCUUCCAGCCUCUAAACCCCCAUCAAGUCCGCCCCGGCGGCACCAAGGUUGAACUCGGAUCAGGUAGGAAUACCCGCUGAACUUAAGCAUAUCAAUAAGCGGAGGA
rnacentral:misc_RNA from 1 species